GUACCACAGUGAUACAAACUAAUAGAACAGCUGUACAAAAACCUCUGAGCGCUUCACUAACCGCACUUUAAACACAUGAUCACAAACACAUCUUUACACAACACACAUACAAACAUACUUUCAUUUAUUUUAUUAUUCAUAUUGUGGACAACUGCUAAUAAAAAUAUGAAUAGUUCAUAAUAUGCAUUUAAAUUUAAAAAUAUAACAUUGUUUUAUGAUUGCAUGUUUUAACUCCUCAUAACUCUUGUGAUGAAGUCUGUGUUGAAUGUUCAUGAGAAAUCAAAACAUUGAAAAAAACUUCCUGAGAAUAUCCACUGACUGGAAUGCAAUGUAUUUAAUAACUUAGAAUAAAGACAUACUGUUAAUAUUCAUAAAUGUAAUAUUCUUUUAAUAAUGUAUUCUCAUCGCUGCUGUUCUCCUGUAACAGUCACAUUUGCUGGUGAGAGGAAACAGUUUUGAAUGUGUGUCCCACCCCUCUGAUUAAAGCACAAUAUCAGACUGUCUGUUAGUCAGGACUGUCAAACCAACAUCACUGUUCCUUCAGUUCUCACUCAUUCACAGUAAAGAUGACAUCACACGCUCUCAUUAUCUGCUCUCUUCUGCUUUUCACUGCUGGUUGUUUUGGGGAGAUUAUUCUGACUCAGAGUCCCACAGUGAAGAUGGUGUCAGUGGGAGACAGUGUCACUCUCAACUGCGGGUCCAGCAGUACUGCUUUUACAUCUAGUUUAGCCUGGUAUCUGCAGAGACCUGGAGAAACCCCCAAACUCCUCUUCUCUAGUGUCAGUAGCAGAGUGUCUGGAGUUUCUGACAGAUUCACUGAUGAGAGAUCAGGAACAAACUUUAUGCUAAAAAUAAGAAAUAUCCAGACUGAAGAUGCAGGAGAUUAUUAUUGUCAACAGCAUUAUGAGUAUCCACUCACACAGUGAUAAAGAGUCGCACAAAAACCUCCUUCAGUGAAAGAGGAACUACUGAUACAAACACAGUUACACAGUUAAAGAUUCGCUCAAAUGGAAGUUUCUUUACAGUUUUUCUCAGUCAAUUUUAUACAUUUCUCCAAACUAUAAUCAUUGCUCUCAAAACAAUUCACACAGCCGACGAAACAGGCACUCAAAUUUGCAUAACAAUGAAAUUUCACUGCAUAAUGAAGCAACAUAUUCUUUCCUGAUAAUGCAUUUAUUAAAACUAAAUACUAACAUCAAAACUAUAGAUGUGUUCUCUGUUGAAUUCAUAACAUUUUCAGCUAUAGACAACUCUAUGAUUUAAAUAACACAUUUAUCAUAAAAAUCCACAAUAAAGACCUUUUUCCAUCUGUUUUCAUAAAUUGUCUCUAAAUUUCUAGUUGUUCCUGCUCUUCCUCUGGAAGGAUGAUGAAGAAGUUUACUGUAAAAUAAACAAACAACAAUCUUGCUCAAUUGUAUGGACCUAAGGCAGCACUAUAAGCAC